rnacentral:misc_RNA from 1 species
GAUGAAGAACGUAGCGAAAUGCGAUAAGUAAUGUGAAUUGCAGAAUUCAGUGAAUCAUCGAAUCUUUGAACGCACAUUGCGCCCGCCAGCAUUCUGGCGGGCAUGCCUGUUCGAGCAUCAUUUCAACCCUCGAGCCCCCCCGGGGGCCUCGGUGUUGGGGGACGGCACACCAGCCGCCCCCGAAAUGCAGUGGCGACCCCGCCGCAGCCUCCCCUGCGUAGUAGCACACACCUCGCACCGGAGCGCGGAGGCGGUCACGCCGUAAAACGCCCAACUUUCUUAGAGUUGACCUCGGAUCAGGUAGGAAUACCCGCUGAACUUAAGCAUAUCAAUAAGCGGAGGA